rnacentral:rRNA from 1 species
UACGUAGGGGGCUAGCGUUGUCCGGAUUUAUUGGGCGUAAAGGGCGCGUAGGCGGCCACCGCAAGUCGACUGUGAAAUCUCCGGGCUUAACCCGGAAAGGUCAGCCGAUACUGCGGGGCUAGAGUGCAGAAGGGGCAACUGGAAUUCUCGGUGUAGCGGUGAAAUGCGUAGAUAUCGAGAGGAACACCUGCGGCGAAGGCGGGUUGCUGGGCUGACACUGACGCUGAUGUGCGAAAGCUAGGGGAGCGAACGGG